rnacentral:misc_RNA from 1 species
GACCCCUCGAGCCCCGCUCGGUCUUAGGGACCGCCGCCCCGCAGGAGCGGCCCCCGAAAGCCACCGGCGGAGUGCGCCGGGCCCGGCACGGAGUGACUGCUAUAUCGUGACCGGAGCCCGGGCGCCCCAGCCGCAAAACUGCCCGUGCCCUCGCGGGGGCGUGGGCACCCGACG